AUGCUUAAAUUUCUCUCCAGAUUUAUUAAAUCUUUUACUCUUUAUUAAGGAUUUCUGUGGAGAGGAACAAUUAUGAGACUAAUAGAAUUUGUUGAGGAUUUGUCACAUUCAUAGCU